AUAAAGGCCCGAGCGAGACGAAGAAGUAAGUUGCCUGAUUUCUUUCCAGAAUAAGCGAAGGACUUCAGGCUAAGCUGGGAGUGAGAUUGGACUGGUGCUGAUGGGGGAGAGUUUCAAAUGAUGUAAAUUAAAUUACUAUUUUGCCUCUAUGAUAAUAGAGUCUUGAUGUUUGAAUUACUUAGUUUCUUUUGAGAUCAAGCAAUACACUCACGGUUAUGUGUCUUCAUACAUAUAAUCGGUUCGCCUUUUGCUGCGAUACUCUGCAAAUUAUGCUUCCUUAUGAAAAAUGAACUAUACGCGUUUUGUUUUUGUUCGUGAAAUUCCUAAUAAUUAAAAAGUUAUGACAAUGUUGACGAUUUUA